AGUGAACGCUGGCGGUAGGCCUAACACAUGCAAGUCGAACGGCAGCACAGUAAGAGCUUGCUCUUACGGGUGGCGAGUGGCGGACGGGUGAGGAAUACAUCGGAAUCUACUUUUUCGUGGGGGAUAGCGUAGGGAAACUUACGCUAAUACCGCAUACGACCUACGGGUGAAAGCAGGGGAUCUUCGGACCUUGCGCGAUUGAAUGAGCCGAUGUCGGAUUAGCUAGUUGGCGGGGUAAAGGCCCACCAAGGCGACGAUCCGUAGCUGGUCUGAGAGGAUGAUCAGGCGCACUGGAACUGAGACAGGGUGCGAACUCCUACAGGCGGCUGCAGUGGGGAAUAUUGGGCAAUGGGCGCAAGCUUGAUCCAGCCAUACCGCGUGGGUGAAGAAGGCCGUCGGGUUGUAAAGCCCUUUUGUUGGGAAAGAAAAUCAGCAGGUUAAUACCGCGCUGUUCUGACGGUACCCAAAGAAUAAGCACCGGCUAACUUCGUG
rnacentral:rRNA from 1 species